rnacentral:rRNA from 1 species
AUUGAACGCUAGCGGGAUGCCUUACACAUGCAAGUCGAACGGAGUGGCGACCGGGUGAGUAAUGUAUCGGAAUGGGCCCCGUAGCGGGGGACAACUACGCGAAAGCGUAGCUAAUACCGCAUACUCUUGGAGCGGCCGAUAUCGGAUUAGCUAGAUGGUGGGGAAACGGCUCACCAAGGCGACGAUCUGUAGCCGGUUUGAGAGGACGAUCAGCCACAAUGGGACUGAGACACGGCCCAGACUCCUACGGGAGGCAGCAGUGGGGAAUUUUGGACAAUGGGGGAAACCCUGAUCCAGCCAUCCCGCGUGUGCGAUGAAGGCCUUCGGGUUGUAAAGCACUUUUGGCAGGAAAGCGGUACCUGCAGAAUAAGCACCGGCUAACUACGUGCCAGCAGCCGCGGUAAUUC